CGAUGCGAUCAUACCAGCACUAAUGCACCGGAUCCCAUCAGAACUCCGAAGUUAAGCGUGCUUGGCGAGAGUAGUACUAGGAUGGUGACCCGUGGGAAGUCCUCGUGUUGCAUCCC
rnacentral:rRNA from 1 species